GACGUAGGAGGCGAGCGUUGUCCGGAUUCAUUGGGCGUAAAGCGCGCGCAGGCGGUCCUUUAAGUCUGAUGUGAAAGCCCACGGCUCAACCGUGGAGGGUCAUUGGAAACUGGGGGACUUGAGUGCAGAAGAGGAAAGCGGAAUUCCACGUGUAGCGGUGAAAUGCGUAGAGAUGUGGAGGAACACCAGUGGCGAAGGCGGCUUUCUGGGCAUUACCUGACGCUGAGGAGCGAAAGUGUGGGGAGCGAACAGG
rnacentral:rRNA from 1 species